rnacentral:lncRNA from 1 species
GUAUUAAUGGAUUUGAUGUUCUUAAAGAUACUACUUCAAAUUAGUAGUGCCAAAGGCGAAAAAUAUAGUUCAAUGGUUUGUUGUUGAAAACUCGGGCUGAGAAAACUGUUCACUUUUAAGUAUUUAACUGCACACCUACUCGUAUUACUGUCAUUAUACUUUGAACAAAAGAUGAAGAGAUUCCUAUUACCAAAUUUUGUUUGGGUGAAAAAUUUAAAACUUGCAUGGGAUGCGUUUGAAACGAAACUGAAACAAUAUCAAGACACAAAUUUCAUACAGCUAUACAAACGCACUUACCAAAAAUUGAUACAUCAAAAGCAAAGUUUGCUAACUGUGAACUAACACUGUGAACUUCUGUAUACAUGUAUAAAAUUGAGAAUGGAAAUGGGGAAUGUGUCAAAGCGACAACAACCCGAACAUAGAGCAGACAACAGCCGAAGGUCACCAAUGGGUCUUCAAUGUAGCGAGAAACUCCCGCACCCGUCGGAGGCGUCCUUCAGCUGGCCCCUAAACAAAUAUGUAUACUAGUUCAGUGAUAAUGGACGUCAUACUAAACUCCGAAUUAUACACAAGAAACUAACAUUAAAAAAAUCAUACAAGACUAACAAAGGCCAUGCAAAGACUCCUGACUUGAGAAAGGCGCAAAAUUGCGGCGGGGUUAAACAUGUUUAUGAGAUCUCAACCCC